UACGAAGGGGGCUAGCGUUGCUCGGAAUCACUGGGCGUAAAGGGUGCGUAGGCGGGUCUUUUAAGUCAGGGGUGAAAUCUUGGAGCUCAACUCCAGAACUGCCUUUGAUACUGAGGAUCUUGAGUUCGGGAGAGGUGAGUGGAACUGCGAGUGUAGAGGUGAAAUUCGUAGAUAUUCGCAAGAACACCGGUGGCGAAGGCGGCCAACUGGACCAUUACUGACGCUGAGGCGCGAAAGCGUGGGGAGCAAACAGG
rnacentral:rRNA from 1 species